CCAGACCUCACCGAUACUACCUACCUUCAACAAUCCGUCAAGAGCAAAGUCUGGCUGCUCUUCCUACAUUUUCUCAUGCCUCCUAAGUGGUAAAAGAAUAAUGGUGAGUGAGACACGCACAUGCUUUCAGGCAUGUUUUCAUUGGGUUAAAGUUUCUUAGGAGUGGCCCCACCUUUAUCUUGUGGUUGGCUCACCGAGGUAGGGUUUAAUUUAACUCGUGACCAAGUGAGUAAUCGUGGGUUUCUUAGCUCCCGAAGGCUUCAGCUGCAGUCUCAGCAGAGAAGCACAGUUAUGCCCUCUAGGCUGGCAUUCAAGGGAGCCCAGUACUUCCCUAAUGGAGGGACUACUUUGUUGCAUGUUGCCUCAGCUCUGUGAGAACCCAUGAUGGGAAGAGGAGUAGAUCACCAUUUAUCCCUGAAUCGUCAGCCAUUCUGCUGUGACAUGUUAUUACGACAUGACAAUUAAAUCAGUGGACCUUUCUCAGAGCUUUCCUUGGGAAGAAGGGACGUCCUGCACCAGCAAGUUCAAGCUCAAAGGAAGAAAAAGGACUUGGUCAUGCUCCAGCCAUCUGUGACAGAAGACCAGGUAAAGGACCCAUGGAAUAAGAGCCCACCGGCAAACACGAAUCAGCAACUGCAGUCCAGUCACUCAGCAGACACCACACAUGAACCGGCCAGGGCAGUUCACUCCAGAAGAAACCACAAGGCUUUCCAACUUUGAAUUGACAAGAAGCUGUAGGA